GGCAUCGUGCAUUCGCGGCACGUCCAGGUUGCGUGCGGAGACGUCAGACUCGGCGACGAUAUUGACGUUCCCAUCAGCAAACGGAGGGGCUCAAGAUGCGAGAAAUAUUAUUAAGGACUGUCGCAAAGUGGAUCAAGAACGGAGCGACCUUUACGACGUGACCUCAGAUCAAUCAACAGUCAUCCCACGACGCUUGCUUAUGAUCUCAUCUUCAGAAGGCACGUUCCCGUCAUUGAUAGGAGGUAGCCGACCCCACAUGAUUUCUGUACCUAUGAGAGCGGCGAGAAUCAACGACCAAACCGAAAGCUUCUCAUCCUCCAUAUCAGAGUGGAUUCACAUCUUAAAAGGACCACAACCCCUGUUUCAGGGUUCCGACAUCCAAAUGCCACAAAAAAAAAAAAAAAAAAAAAAAAA